rnacentral:rRNA from 1 species
UACGUAGGGGGCUAGCGUUAUCCGGAAUUACUGGGCGUAAAGGGCGCGUAGGCGGCUCAUGAAGGCUGUGGUGAAAGUCCGGGGCUCAACCUCGGAUCGGCCGUGGCGACUCGUGGGCUGGAGCACUGUAGAGGCGGGUGGAAUUCCGGGUGUAGCGGUGGAAUGCGUAGAGAUCCGGAAGAACACCAGUGGCGAAGGCGGCCCGCUGGGCAGUGGCUGACGCUGAGGCGCGACAGCGUGGGGAGCAACAGG